rnacentral:lncRNA from 1 species
GUUAGGAGUGCUGAUUUCCCCACAGUCAAAUACUUAUGUAUAACUUUGAAUCCCCCAAAACUAAACUACGAAUAGCUCACUAUUGUCAAGAAGCUCUACUAAUAAGAUGUGCAGUUGAUUAACCCGUGUUUUGUAUGUGAAAUAUAUUAUAUACCAUGUUCUUACAAUAAAGGAGGCUAGAGGAAAGAAAAUAUUAAGAAAAUGAUAAGAAAGGAAAAUAUAUUUCAUUAAGUGGAAGUAGGUUUUCAUAAAGUUCUUCAUCCUCAUCAUCUUCACAUUGAGUAGGCUGAAGAGAAGACAGAAGAGUAUGGAAUGAUCUUGCUGUAUUUGGUUGGUGGAAGUGAAAUAAAAUUUGCAUAAAAGUGGAUCUGUGAAGUUCAAACUUGUGUUGUUUAAGGGAUGAGUGUGUAUAGUUUAUAACUCUUAAAUCCCAGUUCCGGUUAUCAUUAAUCCCAGGGUGGACACCACAUCUAUCAACAUUCAUAAAUUGUGCUUCUCUAAAUUUCCCGUCAGUAAAAACCUAUGUAGGUUAUUGGAAUAGUACGUACAAGGUGCCCAUGUAUUCUAUCCAAUACUUACAUAGUGUGGUUAUGUACAAAUUACUUAAUCCAGCAAAACAAGGAUGUAGACUGACAUACCCCCAAAUUAAUCAAUAAGCUAAACUGAGCUUGGCAGUCGGACAUUUAUUAUUUGCCUUUCAUAGUCUUCUAAUUCCUGAUGCUAAUAUUCCUAUCACACCACUUUCAUUAUUGAUUCUUGUCUACUCUACAUAUUCACUGUCAAAAUACUUCAACCUUGGAGUCAAUGGCUAUUACUCCAAUCUCCACUUUAUUAUACUAAUUUUUUUUUUGGUUGUCAUCCAGUAAGCUAUAGUCAGACUAGUACUCCCCCUCUAGAAAUACAUACACAGGAAUGUGACAUCAAAUUUAUCCUAACUUGUGAUGGUUAAUAUUUGGUGUCAACUUGAUGGGAUUGAAGGGUGCAAAGUAUUGUUUCUGGGUGUGUCUGUGAGGGUGUUGCCAAAGGAGAUUAACAUCUGAGUCAGUGGACUGGGAAAGGCAGACCCACUCUCAAUCUGGGUGGGCAUCAUCUAAUCAGUUGCCAGCAUGGCCAGAAUAAAAGCAGGCAGAAGAAUGUGGCAAUAGUAGACUGGUUUAGUCUUCUGGCCUGUAUCUUUCUUCCAUGCUGCGUGCUUCCUGCCCUCGAUCAUCAGACUCCAGGUUCUUCAACUUCGUGACUCGGACUGGCUUCUUUGCUCUGAAGAUUGCAGACAGCCUAUUGUGGGAGCUCACCUUGUGAUUGUGUUAUGUUUAAUUUCUUCACACCACUCAAAACUCAGCUUCUGAUUUCAAGAGUUCAACAACAGCCCUGAAGGAUUCUGUCUGCUUUACAGCUAUAGGCAGCUUCUGAAAAGCCACUCUGCCCUAAGAAGUCAGCCUACAUAAUUGAAGACAAGUGAUGUAAAUAAUUUGCCCUGUAUGCUGGUCCCAUGUUCCUGGACUUCUCAGUCUCCCCCAGAACUGUAAAAAAUAAAUUUCCUUUCUUUAUAAAUUACCCAGUCUGUGGUAUUCUGUUAUAGUAAAGGAAAACAAGCUAAGGCAUUAUGUUAAAUCUUGUAAAAAGAACCUCUUUCCUAUGAUUAGAGCUCCUCUCAUAUGCAUAUAGAAAUCCAAUGUUGAAGCUAUCAUAAUUCUACUGAACCAUCAACUUCAACCCACCCAGGUAAGAUUAUGCCUUCUUGAAUAUAAGAGAAACUUCCCCAAUCCCUUACCCAACCAAAAGGAUGAAUCUUCGAGAAAAAUAUCAAAAAGCCCUGCUUCAAAUCAGUAAAUAUUUGGUGGUAGGUGAGUGGUGUUUUCAAAUAAUAAAUACAAUCAUUCACUCUCUGUUAUGACUUUUUGAAGAUAAUUCAUUUUUGUUUUUCUUCUCUUAAGGGCUGAUUUAAACUUUCACAAAUGUAACAUCAUAUUGAAUCACAUCACAUUGAAUUUGUAAUGAAAAAAUGUGUUCCCCAGACGUCUUAUGACCUCUGAAACUUGGAAACCAAGUUGGCAACUGAGGAAAAAACUAUUAUUUCCAUCAAAAACUAUGGCAACAAAAACAUGGUCAUGUUCAUUUUAAUUACUUCUGCCAUUUUACUUGUCCCUCUUUCUAGUUAUCUUUCUUAAGAAUAUUAAUCAGUCUAAAGAGAAUAAAUGAUUUAUUAUUUUCAGAGAGGUAGGUGUUUUGAACAGAUCUUAGAGCCAUGUGGGUCAGUGUUGUCAAUCCCAGAUUUAUCUGUUUAAAAUGCAUGCCUCAUGGACUUACACUUAUUAAUGUUAUAAUGUAGGUAAGAAUCUUACCCAGUGCUCAGUACAUACUAAGUUGUGGGUAAAACCUGCUUAUUACUAAUUAUUCAACAAUUCACAGAAAAAUGGAAAAUUCAGUUGUUCAAAUUAUCACCAAUAUGGGUGUUUUCUUUAUAAUGUGAUAAGAUUAUUUGAAUUUUAUGACACAUAUGCCAUGAAUUUAAGAUAAGUAUAAUAUGGUUGCUUUAAGUUUUUCUUUUUCAAUUACAAUAAUAAUAAUACAAACCUCCUUAGAUCUAUACACUUGAGAUAUUUAAAACACAAUGUGUAUGCAAAACAUCAUAACCUGGUUCCUCAAAUCAACAAGGGACUAUGAGUUUUAUUUGUAUGAGAGGUCUUGGACCUGUGGUAUUUUGUUUACUACUUAUCACUUUUGAUGGCCACCCAUUUGAAUAGAGAUCUAAUCUGGCUCUGGGGGCAGGGAAGAUCUUGGGACAGGAAAACUACCCCUUUCUUUAGGAGAUGGCCCAUUGAUCUUUGCUUUUAUCAGCUCCUGCAACUAUCAUUUGAAGGUAAAGAUCAAGUUAUUUACAAAUUGCUUUAGAUUGAAAGGCAUUAGACUAGGCAAGGUGAAAAUUAAGAGCUUGUGAAUACAUUGUAGGUGGAAAUAAUUUUUGGAAACGAUUUCCCAGUAUAUAUAAUACACAAUUUCUAAAAUGAACAAAAGUUUGAAAUAAGUUUUAAAUAAGAUGUUGAAAAGAUGUAAGCGUAGCUGCUUUAAUCUUAAUCAAUGCAACUUGUGAUGAGGUAAUGAAGAGCAGGCAAUCAGUCAGAACCCAAUCUACCCAAAUGAAAUCUCAAACAACAGAGGAUAUUUUUUACUUUAGUUUGUGUUAAGAGAGAUGGGCAAUGUAAGUGCUAUGCAGAUUUAAUGUGCUAAUGAAAUAAAUUCAUCAAGAUUUAAAUUAUGGAGGAAAUUAAAAUAAGAAACUGUUCUGUACACAAAAGAGACUAUGUCCCAAGAGAAUAUCCAGCCUUGGUAAAGAACAACCCUAAUGAAUUUUAGAAUAGAUUUACAAAAUAUUAUAUAUCACCUGUUUUUAAAGACUUUUUAUUCUUUAGUUUCCUUAGUCAGUCCCUAGAAUUUUUAUUUAGGAAAGACCCUAGAAAUAGAAAUCUGAAAUGCUCAGCCAACAAAAGCUUUGUGAAGUUGUUUGCCCAGCCAAUGUAUUGUUGGUGGUUAGAUCAUUAGUCUACUACUUCGAUUUUGGGUGCUCAGUGAAGUACCUGGAGGCAUUCAAGGGUGUGAGCACAGAUAAUUUAAGGGAAUUAAUUUCUAAUUUAAAUAAUUUCAUCUUUUAUGUUAAAUAUUUCCUAAGGCCAUUUGAUGGAGCUUCAAGUUCUAAUUUUCUUUUUUUUUUCUUUUGAGAUGGAGUGUUGCUCUGUCGCCCAGGCUGGAGUGCAGUGGCAUGAUCUCGGCUCACUGCAAGCUCCGCCUCCCAGGUUCAUGCCAUUCUCCUGCCUCAGCCUCUCAAGUAGCUGGGACUACAGGCACCCGCCACCACGCCUGGCUAAUUUUUUUUGUAUUUUUUAGUAAAGACGGGGUUUCACCAUGUUAGCCAGGAUGGUCUCGAUCUCCUGAUCUCGUGAUCUGCCCUUCCUCAGCCUCCCAAAGUGCUGGGAUCACAGGCGUGAGCCACCAUGCCCAGCCCAAGUUCUAAUUUUCUGCCAUGUUAUAAUAAACCUCUCCCAAUUUUUCAAAGUAAAAUAUCUGUUGCCCAGCACUAAACUAGCAGGGUGAUUGCCCCAGAAAAUUACAAAGAUCCUAGGCAUCACUACUGAGACCAAUCAAAAUGUUUUUAUAAUGAUUUUGAAAAAAUAAAGAAUUUUAAUGACAGGAUAAAAAAUAAAUACAUUUGAAAAUCAAAUGAUUCCAACUAUCAGUUUUCAACAAAACUAAAGAAUUUACCUACUUGGAUUGUUUGUUGAUAGGCCACUUAAAAAUAAUAUUUGCUGAAGAAUUAGAAUGAGACAUUUACAAACACCUGAAAAGAGUUGAAAGAAUUCAAUGUCAUUGCUAGAAUAGCACACUUAUCCUCAUCUAUUUGUUUAUGUGGACAAGUUAUUUCAAUACCUACAUCUAUAAAGAUGAGUGUAUUAGUUCAUUUUCAUAUUGCUGUUACAGACAUGCCCGAGACUGGACAAUUUACAAAAGAAAGAAGUUUAUCAGACUUACAGUUCUAUGUGGCUGAGGAAACCUCACAAACAUGGCGGAAGUUGAAAGGCACAUCUCACAUGGUGGUAGACAAGAGAAGAGAACUUGUGUAGGGAAACUCUGAUUUUUAAAACCAUCAGAUCUGGCGAGACUCAUUCACUAUCAAGAGAACAGUGCAGGAAAGACCCGCCCCCAUAAUUCAAUCACCUCUCACCAGGUUCCUCCCAUGACAUGUGGGAAGUACAAUUCAAGAUGAGAUUUGCUUGGGGGCACAGCCAAACCAUAUUAUUCCACCACUGGCCUCUUCUAAAUCUCAUGUCCUCAUAUUUCAAAAACCAAUCAUGCCUUCCCAAUAGUCCUCCAUAGUCUUAACUCAUUUCAGCAUUAACUCAAAAGUCUACAGUACAAGGUCUCUUCUGAGACAAGUCAAGUCCCUUCUGCCUAUAAGCAUGUAAAAUCAAAAGCAAGUUAGUUACAUCCUAGAUACAAUGUGGGUACAGGCACUGGGUAAAUACAGCCAUUCCAAAUGGGAGAAAUUGGCCAAAACAAAGGGGCUACAACCCCAUGUAAGUCUGAAAUCCAGCAGAGCAGUCAAAUCUUGAAGCUCCAAAAUGAUAUUUUGACUCAAUGUCUUACAUCUCAGUCAUGCUGAUGCAAAAGAUUGCUUCCUGUGGUCUUAGGCAGCCUCGCUCCUGGCUGUUUCCAUGGGCUUGUGUUGAGUGUCUGUGGCUUUUCCAGGCUCACAGUGCAAGCUGUCAGUGAAUCUACAAUUCUGGGUUCUGUAGAAUGAUGUCCCUCUUCUCACAGCUCCACUAGGUAGUGCCCCAGUAGGGACUCUCUGUGGGGACUCCAAACCCACAUUUCCCUUCCAUGCUGCCCUAGCAGAGGUUGUAUAUGAGAGCCCUGCCCCUGAAGCAAACUUCUGCCUGGGCAUCCACUCGUUUCCAUACAUCCUCUGAAAUGUAGGCGGAGGUUCCCAAACCCCAAUUCGUCACUUCUGUGUACCAGCAGGGUCAACACCAUAUAGAAGCUGCCAAGGCUUGGGGCUUGAAUCCUCUGAAACCAUAGCCCAAGCUCUAGGUGUACCCCUUUCAGCCAUGGCUGGAGUAGCUGGGAUGUAGGGCACCAAGUCCUGCGCAUAGCACUGGGACCCUGGGCCCGACCCACAUAACCACUUUUUCCUCCUAGACCUCCAGGCCUGUGAUGGGAGGGGCUUGUGAAGAGCUUUGAAAUGCUUUGGAGACAUUUUCCCUGUUGUCUUUGGGAUUAACAUUUGGCUCCUAGUUACUUAGGCAAAUUUCUGCAGCUGGCUUGAAUUUCUCCUUAGGAAAUGGGAUUUUCUUUUCUAACGCAUUGUCUGGCUGCAUAUUUUCUAAACUUUUAUGCUGUGCUUCCCUUUUAAAACUGAAUAGCUUCAACAGCACCCAAGUCACCUCUUGAGUGCUUUACUGCUUGGAAAUUUAUUCCACCAGAAACCCUAAAUCAUCUCUCUCAAGUUCAAAGUUCCACAAAUCUCUAGGGCAGAGGCAAAAUGCUGCCAGUCUAUUUGCUACAACAUAACAAGAGUCACCUUUGCUCCAGUUCCUAAAAAGUUCCUCAUUUUUAUCUGUGACCACCUCAGCCUAGACUUUAUUGCCCAUAUUUCUAUUAGCAUAUUGGUCAAAGGCAUUCAACCAGUCUCUAGGAGGUUCCAAACUUUCCAACAUUUUCCUGUCUUCUUCUGAGCCCUCCAAACUGUUCCAACCUCUGCUUGUUACCCAGUUCCAAAGUGGCUUCCACAAUUUCAGGUAUCGUUUCAUCAGUGCCCCACCCUACUGGUACCAAUUUACUGUAUUAGUCCAUUUUCAUGCCACUGAUAAAGACACACUUGAAACUGUGCAAUUUAAAAAUAAAGAGGUUUACUGGACUUACAGUUCCACAUGGCUAGGGAGACAUCACAAUUAUGACAGAAGGUAAAAGGUCCAUCUGACAUGGUGGCAGACAAGAGAAGAGAGCUUGUAUAGGGAAAUUCCCAUUUUUAAAACCAUCAGAUCUCGUGAGACUCAUUCAUUAUCAUGAGAACAGUGCAGGAAAGACCUGCCCCAUAAUUCAACCACCUCCUACUGGGUUCCUCCCAUGACACAUGAGAAUUGUGGGAGUUACAAUUCAAGAUUAGAUUUGAGUGAGCGCACAGCCAGACCAUGUCAAUGACCUAAAAAAUAGUAAGAAUAGAAUGUAUGGUAAACUCUGUCCCAUUGUAAUAAUAAAUUAAUCAUUAAUAUAAAUUACGUUCUCAUAGAGAGCUGUGUUUUCAAAAAUCACUUUAAUUUGUUAAAGUUGUUUAUGAAAACAUGAUAAGUUUACAUCAUUUAUAACAGGGACUAAUAAUUACUAGAAGAAUAACUUACUCUUGAUUUUUUUUAUUUACAGAU